rnacentral:tRNA from 4 species
GUCCCCAUCGUCUAGCCCGGCCUAGGACACCGCCCUUUCACGGCGAUAACGCGGGUUCGAAUCCCGCUGGGGACGCCA